rnacentral:rRNA from 1 species
GACGAACGCUGGCGGCGUGCUUAACACAUGCAAGUCGAACGGAAAGGCCCUGCUUUUGUGGGGUGCUCGAGUGGCGAACGGGUGAGUAACACGUGAGUAACCUGCCCUUGACUUUGGGAUAGCUUCAGGAAACUGGGGCUAAUACCGGAUAGGAGCUCCUGCUGCAUGGUGGGGGUUGGAAAGUUUCGGCGGUUGGGGAUGGACUCGCGGCUUAUCAGCUUGUUGGUGGGGUAGUGGCUUACCAAGGCUUUGACGGGUAGCCGGCCUGAGAGGGUGACCGGCCACAUUGGGACAGAGAUACGGCCCAGACUCCUACGGGAGGCAGCAGUGGGGAAUAUCGCACAAUGGGCGGAAGCCUGAUGCAGCAACGCCGCGUGCGGGAUGACGGCCUUCGGGUUGUAAACCGCUUUCGCCUGUGACGAAGCGUGAGUGACGGUAAUGGGUAAAGAAGCACCGGCUAACUACGUGCCAGCCGCCGCCGUAACAC